CUUUAAGAGACAGACCCUGGGCUGGAGAGAUGGCUCAGAGGUUAAGAGCACUGGCUGCUCUUCCAGAGGUCCCGAGUUCAAUUCCCAGCAACCACAUGG
rnacentral:miRNA from 1 species